UCUCUGUGCAUCACCUCCGACCCUACUUCCAAGCCCACUCGAUGGUUGUCUUGACUGAUCGGCCUUUGAAGAUGAUUCUCUAGAAAAUAGACACCUCCAAGUGUAUGGCGAAGUGGGCAAUUGGGCUUAGAAAAUUUGAUAUCAGUUUUCGACCUCAAUCUAUGAUGAAAAUCAAGCUUUGGCCGACUUCUUAGUGGAAUGCACUGUGCCAAAUAAUGAGCUAUCCUCGGCAUAAUCCGAAGAGAAAAGAGAAGUUCCACAU
rnacentral:lncRNA from 1 species